rnacentral:piRNA from 1 species
UGGCAAGUGAUGGCAGUGGUAGAGGCA